GCCUACCAUGGCAAGUUCGAGCGAAGUCUUCGGGACUUAGCGGCGGACGGGUGAGUUAACGCGUUGGGAACGUGCCCUUUGCUUCGGAAUAGCCCCGGGAAACUGGGAGUAAUACCGAAUGUGCCCUACGGGGGAAAGAUUUAUCGGCAAAGGAUCGGCCCGCGUUGGAUUAGGUAGUUGGUGGGGUAAUGGCCUACCAAGCCGACGAUCCAUAGCUGGUUUGAGAGGAUGAUCAGCCACACUGGGACUGAGACACGGCCCAGACUCCUACGGGAGGCAGCAGUGGGGAAUCUUAUACAAUGGGCCAAGCUGAUCUAGCCAUGCGCGUGAUC
rnacentral:rRNA from 2 species